rnacentral:rRNA from 1 species
UUGCCCUAGUAACGGCGAGUGAAGCGGCAACAGCUCAAAUUUGAAAUCUGGCUUCGGCCCGAGUUGUAAUUUGUAGAGGAAGCUUUUGGCAAGGCACCGACUGAGUCCCCUGGAACGGGGCGCCAUAGAGGGUGAGAGCCCCGUAUAGUCGGACGCUGAGCCUCUGUAAAGCUCCUUCGACGAGUCGAGUAGUUUGGGAAUGCUGCUCAAAAUGGGAGGUAAAUUUCUUCUAAAGCUAAAUACCGGCCAGAGACCGAUAGCGCACAAGUAGAGUGAUCGAAAGAUGAAAAGCACUUUGAAAAGAGGGUUAAAUAGCACGUGAAAUUGUUGAAAGGGAAGCGCUUGUGACCAGACUUGCGCCUGGCCGAUCAUCCGGGGUUCUCCCCGGUGCACUCGGCCAGGCUCAGGCCAGCAUCGGUUCUCUUGGGGGGACAAAGGUCCCGGGAACGUAGCUCCCUCCGGGGAGUGUUAUAGCCCGGGGCGUAAUGCCCUCGAGGGGACCGAGGACCGCGCUUCGGCAAGGAUGCUGGCGUUACGGUCAUCAGCGACCCGUCUUGAAACACGGACCAAGGAGUCAAGGUUUUGCGCGAGUGUUUGGGUGUAAAACCCGCACGCGUAAUGAAAGUAAACGUAGGUGAGAGCUUCGGCGCAUCAUCGACCGGCCCAGAUGUUCUCGGAAGGGCCUGAGUAGGAGCGUUAAGCCUUGGACCCGAAAGAUGGUGAACUAUGCUUGGAUAGGGUGAAGCCAGAGGAAACUCUGGUGGAGGCUCGCAGCGGUUCUGACGUGCAAAUCGAUCGUCAAAUCUGAGCAUGGGGGGCGAAAGACUAAUCGA